rnacentral:misc_RNA from 1 species
GCACCAUAAACAUCUGAAGGAUCAAUAAUCGGGGAAGAUGAGGCUCCAUUCCUUCCUCCUCCGUUACCACCACCACCAGUGCUAGCACCACCCAAAUGCAAUUCUGCUAUAUUAGGGAACCCAUCUCUUCCUUCAACACCUUGAUCAUAUAGAAACCCUUUAAACACAUGGCCACAAAUAUUUACCACAGCCUGAUACGCAUACUCAUC